rnacentral:rRNA from 1 species
CCUACGGGAGGCAGCAGUAAGGAAUAUUGGUCAAUGGACGCAAGUCUGAACCAGCCAUGCCGCGUGAAGGAUGAAGGCCCUCUGGGUUGUAAACUUCUUUUACAGGGGACGAAAAAAGGGAAUUUUUCUCACUUGACGGUACCCUGGGAAUAAGCACCGGCUAACUCCGUGCCAGCAGCCGCGGUAAUACGGAGGGUGCAAGCGUUAUCCGGAUUCACUGGGUUUAAAGGGUGCGUAGGUGGGCAUUUAAGUCAGUGGUGAAAUCUCCGGGCUUAACCCGGAAACUGCCAUUGAUACUAUUUGUCUUGAAUAUUGUGGAGGUAAGCGGAAUAUGUCAUGUAGCGGUGAAAUGCUUAGAUAUGACAUAGAACACCCAUUGCGAAGGCAGCUUACUACGCAAAUAUUGACACUGAGGCACGAAAGCGUGGGGAUCAAACAGGAUUAGAUACCCCGGUAGUCCACGCCCUAAACGAUGGAUACUCGACAUCAGCGAUACACAGUUGGUGUCUGAGCGAAAGCAUUAAGUAUCCCACCUGGGAAGUACGACCGCAAGGUUGAAACUCAAAUGAAUUGACGGNUGAGAGNGCGAGACGACGACGAGGGAGAGG